UCCCUGAUAGCUCAGUUGGUAAAGCAUCUGCCUGCAAUGCAGGAGACCUCAGUUCAAUCCCUGGGUAGGGAA
rfam:TPA: Bos taurus chromosome 5, whole genome shotgun sequence.